GAAUCGCGAUAGGAAUUGCGAAUUGCAGAAUUCAGUGAAUCAUCGUAACUUUGAACGCAAACUGCGCUUGGGGGCAACCCUGAGCAUGCCUCUUUGAGUGUCGGUCAAACCAUCCUGCUGGUUUUCCACAGGGAUCUGAGAGUCUGGAUGUCUCUCCAAGUACGUGCAGCACCCUUUUGGGUUGUGUCGCUUCGGCAAGUGCUCGGUCAUAUGCGAGUGGAGAUGAAUGUUUUCAUGAGCGACCUUGUGCAGUCGAUAGCGGCUCGUGCUCUGUCGUGUUGGUUCGCCAACACAUACUCUGACCAUCGACCUCAAAUGAGGUAGGAUUACCCGCUGAACUUAA
rnacentral:misc_RNA from 1 species